AUAGAAUUAUUAUUCUUUUCAGUAUUAUGUAGCAUCUGGAUGAAGAGGAAUGCAGGAUUCCAGAAUUUUUCCUUUAUUUUGGGACAAGGUGGUUUUCUGGGCAUCUCAUUGGACUCUCACUUCAAGGGCUUUACCAGGUACCUUUUUAGUCUUAUCUCUUUGUAAUGCUUUUUUGUUGUGUUGAUUAGGCUACGAACCUGUCCUCCACAUCAUAAUCUUCCACAGAAGUCUAAUCA
rnacentral:misc_RNA from 1 species